rnacentral:lncRNA from 13 species
AUGACAAACCUUGAUAUUGUUCCUGUUAUUCUUGUCAGGAAAGUCUUUGACUCUGUUUUUGCAGAUUCAUGUACAAUCAAGCAGCAAUACGGUUCAUGGGAAGACGUCUCACUUUGCAAUGAUAUGGUAGAGCACCUACAUAUCCAGGUUCAGAAAGAGGCAUUGAAAUACCAAAACCAAAGACUGUUCUUACACACUCUGAGGAAGCUCAACGAUGAGACGGACAAGAUGGCCAAAUUCUUAGAAGACGUCUCAUUCUCUAUCAAGAGCAAGUACUUCAGGACUUUCCAUGACUGGCCAAUGGUUAAAGCCCAGCUAUACCCAGAAAUACAGUCUCUGCUAGUCUGCGAUAUCAUGGUCAGAGAGAUCAUGGCUCACCUGAGGCCUACCUUGACCUUCGCCAAGGACACCAAGAAGGGUGAUGACCGGCCAUACUGCAUCAACAUCCCGGUCAAGAGAGAGACCAGAACCCCGGAUGAUACAGAAAAGACCAAGCUGGAGCUUUGCAUUGAGAAAGCCAGCGCUGACAUAAUGAAGGAACUCCUCACCCCACUUGAGAAGGUAAGCUACACUGUUUUCUGUAUUGUCUCAUUGAUAAUAUCAGUCAAUUUGAAUGUUGUUUGUCCCGUACUGAGCUGGAGCUUCAGCAUUGAAAGGUUGCUGAUGGUGAUGGCUUCCUGAGGUUUGUAUCCACUACAGGAGGGGAGGAGGGCUAAUAAUUAUGUUUGGAAUGGAGUAACUGGAAUGGCAACAAACACAUGGAAACUUUGUGUUUGAUGUGUUCGAUACCAUUCCAUUAACACCAUUCCAGCCAUUACUAUGAGCCCGUCCUCCCCAAUUAAGGUGCCUGUAGUUUCCACUCACCAACUCUGUUUGUUCACAGGAACCCGAACCCUUCUGGAAGACGGGAUGGAUGGCAAUGAUGGAGGAGGAAAAUAAUAAAAAGAAGAAGAAGGGUUGCGGCUGGUUCUCGGGUUUGUUUGGCCGUAAGAAAAAAAACAGCGAAAGAAUUGUGGAUGGAGGAUUGUCGCAGGCGCGGAUACUAGAAAUCACAUCCACACAAACCAAGCGUAUGGACACACACACAUUUACACAGAGACAGAUAUAACAACAAGGCCUACCUCAGAUCCCAAACAGACAACAUAUGUUGCCUGUCUAAUACUAUGUCUUAUUUUCCAUUUUUCUCUGAACUUUUAUUUGAAAAAUAAACACUUUAUUUGAAGUAUUUUGUGUGACUUUGUUUUCUAAAGACAUGUCUUUUAUGACUUUAUUUCUGAUAUAUAUAUUUUACAUUCCACAUAGAGGAGCCUGAUGCUCAAUGUAACCAAUAACCAUCCAUUGUAUUGUUUUAUGGUGUAGCCUGAAAAUCUGUUUUUUAAAUUGUUGUUUUUGAUUAGAUAAACACAUUUACUUUGCUGAAAAAACAGUACGUUUCGAAUUUUGGGCUUUUGGAAUAAUUUAUACAGUAGACAAUUCAAAUGAAUCGGUUAAUUAACAACAAUGAACAUUU